rnacentral:rRNA from 1 species
GAUGAACGCUGGCGGCGUGCCUAAUACAUGCAAGUCGAGCGAACAGACGAGGAGCUUGCUCCUCUGACGUUAGCGGCGGACGGGUGAGUAACACGUGGAUAACCUACCUAUAAGACUGGGAUAACUUCGGGAAACCGGAGCUAAUACCGGAUAAUAUAUUGAACCGCAUGGUUCAAUAGUGAAAGACGGUUUUGCUGUCAAUUAUAGAUGGAUCCGCGCCGCAUUAGCUAGUUGGUAAGGUAACGGCUUACCAAGGCAACGAUGCGUAGCCGACCUGAGAGGGUUAUCGGCCACACUGGAACUGAGACACGGUCCAGACUCCUACGGGAGGCAGCAGUAGGGAAUCUUCCGCAAGGGGCGAAAGCCUGACGGAGCAACGCCGCGUGAGUGAUGAAGGUCUUCGGAUCGUAAAACUCUGUUAUUAGGGAAGAACAAAUGUGUAAGUAACUAUGCACGUCUUGACGGUACCUAAUCAGAAAGCCACGGCUAACUACGUG